UUCCUACGGGGCGCAGCAGUGAGGAAUAUUGGUCAAUGGGCGGGAGCCUGAACCAGCCAUGCCGCGUGAAGGCGAGUGCCCUACGGGCGUUAAACUUCUUUUGUGCGGGAGCAAUAAGGGCCACGUGUGGCCCGAUGAGAGUACCGCACGAAUAAGCAUCGGCUAACUCCGUGCCAGCAGCCGCGGUAAUACGGGGGAUGCGAGCGUUAUCCGGAUUUAUUGGGUGUAAAGGGCGUGUAGGCGGGAAAGCAAGUCAGAUGUGAAAACUCAGGGCUCAACCCUGAGCCUGCAUUUGAAACUGUUUU
rnacentral:rRNA from 1 species